rnacentral:rRNA from 1 species
GACAGAGGGUGCAAACGUUGCUCGGAAUUACUGGGCGUAAAGCGCGUGUAGGCGGUGCGGCACGUCCGAUGUGAAAGCCCAGGGCUCAACCCUGGACGUGCAUUGGAUACGACCGCGCUGGAGUCCUGAAGAGGAGGGCGGAAUUCCCGGUGUAGAGGUGAAAUUCGUAGAUAUCAGGAGGAACACCAGUGGCGAAGGCGGCUUCCUGGACACCAACUGACGCUGAGACGCGAAAGCGUGGGGAGCAAACGGG